AACGAGUUAGUAUAAUAAAUACCACCGACUUAGGAUCAGUAAAAAAGGCCACCCUUACUCGUUA
rnacentral:tRNA from 1 species